rnacentral:rRNA from 1 species
ACACUGGAACUGAGACACGGUCCAGACUCCUACGGGAGGCAGCAGUGAGGAAUAUUGCGCAAUGGGGGCAACCCUGACGCAGCAACGCCGCGUGAGUGAGGAAGGUUUUCGGACCGUAAAGCUCUGUCGAGCGGGAAGAAAUGUAUCAUGGCUAAUAUCCAUGGUACUUGACGGUACCGCUAAAGGAAGCACCGGCUAACUCCGUGCCAGCAGCCGCGGUAAUACGGGGGGUGCAAGCGUUGUUCGGAAUUAUUGGGCGUAAAGAGCGUGUAGGCGGCUGAAUAAGUCAGAUGUGAAAUCCCCGGGCUUAACCCUGGAAGUGCAUUUGAAACUAUUCAGCUUGAGUAAGGGAGAGGAAAGUGGAAUUCCUGGUGUAGAGGUGAAAUUCGUAGAUAUCAGGAGGAACACCGGUGGCGAAGGCGACUUUCUGGCCCUAUACUGACGCUGAGACGCGAGAGCGUGGGUAGCAAACAGGAUUAGAUACCCUGGUAGUCCACGCUGUAAACGAUG